CCUACGGGCGGCAGCAGUGGGGAAUAUUGGACAAUGGGGGCAACCCUGAUCCAGCCAUGCCGCGUGUGUGAAGAAGGCCCUCGGGUUGUAAAGCACUUUCAGUGAGGAAGAACGCCUGGUGGUUAAUACCCAUCAGGAAAGACAUCACUCACAGAAGAAGCACCGGCUAACUCCGUGCCAGCAGCCGCGGUAAUACGGAGGGUGCGAGCAUUAAUCGGAAUUACUGGGCGUAAAGCGCGCGUAGGUGGCUUGAUAAGCCGGUUGUGAAAGCCCCGGGCUCAACCUGGGAACGGCAUCCGGAACUGUCAAGCUAGAGUGCAGGAGAGGAAGGUAGAAUUCCCGGUGUAGCGGUGAAAUGCGUAGAGAUCGGGAGGAAUACCAGUGGCGAAGGCGGCCUUCUGGACUGACACUGACACUGAGGUGCGAAAGCGUGGGUAGCAAACAGGAUUAGAUACCCCUGUAGUC
rnacentral:rRNA from 1 species